UGGGAGGUGUAAAGGGCACACGGUUCAGUGGUGCUGCACGUGUCUCCUGGCGUGAUGAGGAGACGGAGGUUUUCAUGGAAUCACAGACUGUUAAGGGGGGCAGCAAAGGAGUCUUAAGGGACAUGAAAAACCAAGAGGCAUCAGAGAAUUACUCCCAAGGCCUUUGCUUUGCCUGGAGGAGUGGUUGAUGGCUGCCAUCCGUGGGAAGUCUUGUGAAGAACGUCCAGGAUCUCACUGUGACACAAGAGACCAGGUGGAGGGAUGGGUUUUCCUCUUCCUCUGCAGAGGAAAGGUGAGCUGG